GUGCUCACUUUGGCAGCACAUAUAUUAAAAUUGGAAUGAUACAGAGAUUAGCAUGGCCCCUGCUCAAGGAUGACACCCAAAUUCAUGAAACAUUCCAUAUUUUU
ensembl:snRNA U6 U6 spliceosomal RNA